UCCCUGGUGGCUCAGACUAUAAAGCAUCUGCCUACAAUGCAGGAGGCCCAGGUUCAAUCCCUGGGUCGAGAA
rnacentral:tRNA from 1 species